rnacentral:rRNA from 1 species
UACGUAGGCAGCGAGCGUUGUUCGGAAUUACUGGGCGUAAAGAGUGUGUAGGCGGUGCUCUAAGUUCGGUGUGAAAUCUCCUGGCUCAACUGGGAGGGUGCGCCGGAAACUGGAGUGCUUGAGCGUGGGAGAGGAGAGUGGAAUUCCUGGUGUGGCGGUGAAAUGCGCAGAUAUCAGGAAGAACACCGGUGGCGAAGGCGGUUCUCUGGGCGACUUACCUGACGC